UACGUAGGGGCAAGCGUUGUCCGGAAUUAUUGGGCGUAAAGCGCGCGCAGGCGGUCCUUUAAGUCUGAUGUGAAAGCCUACGGCUUAACCGUGGAGGGUCAUUGGAAACUGAGGGACUUGAGUACAGAAGAGGAGAGUGGAAUUCCACGUGUAGCGGUGAAAUGCGUAGAGAUGUGGAGGAACACCAGUGGCGAAGGUGGGUGACUGGACUGCAACUGACGCUGAGGCGCGAAAGUGUGGGGAGCAAACAGGAUUAGAUACCCUGGUA
rnacentral:rRNA from 1 species